AAAAAAAUGAACAAGAAGGACAAGAAAUGACUGAAGGCCACCACAUCAACAAAUGGGAGUGCACUGAGAGCAUCGUUCUUCGUGGCUAACCGUAUUGUUAAGGCGAAGAAACCUUGAAGAUUUUUCAGAAUCAAGCUUGCACAAAUUCAACGUAAAGCAAAAGACGACGAGCAUCGUCGGAGCAACAACACAAAGUGGACAAAGGGUCGAAUUAUCCUUAAUUCCAAGAAGAAAUGGAAAACGCAAAUUGGCUUUGGAGGACUUCAUCACGUUUGUGGUGCUCUUUUCAUAUCUGGCAUCAUCUCCCCGCGCUCGCUAAUCCCGGAUGACAUGCGGAGGAAUGCCGAGUGGCGGCAGCUGUUGGCCCGGCCGACGUUCCCCGACGCCCGGCAAGAAACAACUUGCCAAUGUUCUGCUCGUCAUCUUGCGGUUGGGCCUUGGCGCCGCUCUGAAU